UAGGGAAUCUUCGGCAAUGGACGAAAGUCUGACCGAGCAACGCCGCGUGAGUGAAGAAGGUUUUCGGAUCGUAAAACUCUGUUGGUAGAGAAGAACGUUGGUGAGAGUGGAAAGCUCAUCAAGUGACGGUAACUACCCAGAAAGGGACGGCUAACUACGUGCCAGCAGCCGCGGUAAUACGUAGGUCCCGAGCGUUGUCCGGAUUUAUUGGGCGUAAAGCGAGCGCAGGUGGUUUAUUAAGUCUGGUGUAAAAGGCAGUG
rnacentral:rRNA from 1 species